UACGUAGGGUGCGAGCGUUGUCCGGAAUUAUUGGGCGUAAAGAGCUCGUAGGCGGUGUGUCGCGUCGGCCGUGAAAACCUGGGGCUCAACUCUGGGCGUGCGGUCGAUACGGGCAUCACUUGAGUUCGGCAGGGGGGACUGGAAUUCCUGGUGUAGCGGUGAAAUGCGCAGAUAUCAGGAGGAACACCGGUGGCGAAGGCGGGUCUCUGGGCCGAUACUGACGCUGAGGAGCGAAAGCAUGGGUAGCGAACAGG
rnacentral:rRNA from 1 species